rnacentral:rRNA from 1 species
AUACGGAGGGGGCUAGCGUUGUUCGGAAUUACUGGGCGUAAAGCGCACGUAGGCGGAUUAAAAAGUUAGAGGUGAAAUCCCAUGGCUUAACCCUGGAACUGCCUUUAAAACUAGUAGUCUAGAGUUCGAGAGAGGUGAGUGGAAUUCCAAGUGUAGAGGUGAAAUUCGUAGAUAUUUGGAGGAACACCAGUGGCGAAGGCGGCUCACUGGCUCGAUACUGACGCUGAGGUGCGAAAGCGUGGGGAGCAAACAGGAUUAGAUACCCUAGUAGUCC